AAUCUUCUCGAAUCACGCAUACAAAAACUAGAGAAACUUUCGCUUCAGUGUAUUGAAAGUACCUGUCAAACCAGGAACUUCGUUCGCGCGCGGGUGAAAACAAACAUGUGCUUUCGACCGAAAUCACCGGCUCCGAUCCCGAAACUUUAUGGAGAUACGUCCCUCGGGGAAGCGCUAAACAUCUCCCAGAAGAGUUGUUCGCCACCGCGACGGAGGAAACGCCGAUGACGGUGGAAUACAUUUCCGUUGAGCUACGAGGACGAACAAAGACCGUUGGAAACGGCCUAAACCUACAAUCACCGGCGGUCGAACGCCUGCAGCGUAAAUUUCCCGUACACAGAAUGCAGCAGGGCACUGCAGUGAUGGCUGCAGAACUCCGUUACUGUAUCACCGGGUGUGCUGUUCCUGGCAAUGGAAAAAAGCAAUUCGAAACACCUAGCUCUUAUCAAAUUUGAAAGCACUUCUUGCAACCAUGGCUAGCUAAUGGCGCCAUAAUUAAAAAACCUACUUGGAGCAGCUACUGUCUCAUCCAUCAAAUGAUUAAUAUUUUUAUACAUACUUUUGUGUAAUAUUCAUUAAAAAUUCGGUGGGUGGGCUGGGGUGUUUCAUUGGACUCUAUAAACUAUCCGAAAUUACACUGGGAUUCUGAUUAGGGCUGCUAGAGUAUAAAUAUAGCCGCCACAAUGAUCGCUCUUCAUUAUAGUAGAGGUUUCUUGAGCACAAAUCUGUUGUGGAAAUUGUUUCAAUUUUCUUCCAGGUUUUCUUAAUGUUUCAAUUAUGCCUGGUUUACAUUGUUCAACUGAAACGAGCAUUUCAGCAUUGAUGUGUUUACACUUAGCAAAUGUCUUGAGUGUCCACUUGAAUCAAGUCACUUGCACCAUGUAACCCAGGCAUUAGAUGGAUCACUACCUAUGCCCUUGUAUGUUGCGAGAUGACGCAUAACUAGUAAACGAGCUUCAACAUGUAUUUACUUUACUUCUAAAUUGUUCUUUGAGUAAUUCAUGCAUGCUAUCAACAGUACUCGAAUCUUUUACCUAUUCCACUCGUAGCACCUUUGUGGCGAAACAUCUUCGAGUAUUAGAAAGCAGAAUAAUCUCGACAGGGCUAUUUUGAGCUCUUUUCCGCUCUAACUCAGUCAAUUUUGAUCCAAUUUUUAAAUAAAAAGUUGCGAUGCGUUGAUUAGGAUUGCUAUGAGAUUUGGGAGCUUGGGUCAUUGUGGCCGCCAUUUUGGGAUUCAAACGAGCUUGUCCUUAACAAAACAAAUCAAACUAGCAAAGCGAAAGUCUGAGGUUCCUCAUACAUUCGUAUUUAUAUAAAGUUCGUGAAUGCAGGUAAGCGCGCAGGUAAGUAUGUACCUAUAGGUAAAGUUUUUUAUGAUACAGCCUAAAGGAUGCCGAGUUAUUCUCCUAAUUGAACAGAUCUUGCCGCGAUUAAGGUUCACCAAGUCCUCCGAAGUUGUUUGGUGACGCAGAUUACACCCUCUUAUCGAAUAGGCCCAUUUUUCUUUGUAGUUAUUCUCUAAUUUAGUAGAUCUUGGCGCGAUGAAGGUUCACCAAGUCCUCCGAAGUUGUUUGGUGACGUAGAUUACAUCCGCUUAUCAAAUAUGCCAGUUUAUCUUUGUACUUAAUCUCUAAUUUAGUAGAUCUUGCCGCGAUGAAGGUUCACCAAGUCCUCCGAAGUUGUUUGGUGACGCAGAUUAC